UCCUUAAUGCAGCUCCUUAGGAACGGUCACAAGCCCGUGAGAAUGCAGAGUGAGGA
rnacentral:ribozyme from 2 species